CCAAAACCGCUGUGUUCCAGAUAGUGACUACUCUGUCUGCGUGGGUCCUGGAGAGAGGAGGAUGCAGAGCACAGCACUUAGCCAACCUGCAAUGGACGCGUAGAAAAACUUCUAAAAUCAUCAUAUCACUGAAAAGGUUUCAAAACAAAGCCAUAAUCUCUAGAAAUGUGUCCUUGAUGGGUUGGUCUUCAUUUGCCUGAAGACUCAUCAUUCUAAGGAGGAUUUUGUGCUGCUCUUGUUUUGUUGCUGGGCCUAUCCUGUUUCCAUUCCCAAAUCAAGUAUUCCUGGAAUUUAAGGUAUCACUUUACCAGCCUGACCACAAGUUCUCCAUUGUUUCCUCUGCUCUGCUCACGCCCUGGAAUAAUGCCUCUCCCUGGAUACUAAAUUUACUGACCCUGCCUAGGACCCAGAGAAGAUUGCUGAGUCCUCAGCCCCUGCAUAUCUUCAAAAAGCCACCAACUGAGAGCUA
rnacentral:lncRNA from 1 species